rnacentral:tRNA from 1 species
AUCGAAAUAGCCCAGUUGGGAGAGUGUUAGUGUGUAGAUCGAAAGGUCCGUGGUUCGAUCCCGGGAUUCGGCA